UUUUACACAUUGUAAAAAGACUUAUGCGGAUUUUAACCGCGUAAGCAAGUAGAACUUGCAUUUGGCUCCAUGUAAGGAGAAAACAAAAUG
rnacentral:ncRNA from 1 species